rnacentral:rRNA from 1 species
GAUCAAGUGUCUUAAGGGCAAUUGGUGGAUGCCUUGGCAUGCACAGGCGAUGAAGGACGUGAUACGCUGCGAUAAGCUACGGGGAGGUGCGAAUACCCUUUGAUCCGUAGAUUUCCGAAUGGGGAAACCCACCUAAGGUGCUUGGAAAAUCAGAGUAGCAGGGCAACCUGCUGCUGUGGUUUCCAAGUAUCGAUAAUAGGUAACUUACCCUGAAUAAAAUAGGGGUAAAGUGGCGAACGCGGGGAACUGAAACAUCUAAGUACCCGUAGGAAAGGACAUCAACCGAGACUCCGGCAGUAGUGGCGAGCGAACCCGGACCAGGCCAGUGGCGAUGAUGAGACAAGCGGAACCUUCUGGAAAGUAGGGCCAUAGUGGGUGACAGCCCCGUACGCGUAAUGCAAAUCAUCGUCCUCGAGUAAGGCGGGACACGUGAAAUCCUGUCUGAAAUUGGGGGGACCACCCUCCAAGCCUAAGUACUCGUGCAUGACCGAUAGCGAACUAGUACCGUGAGGGAAAGGUGAAAAGCACCCCGACAAGGGGAGUGAAAGAGUACCUGAAACCGAUUGCCUACAAACAGUGGGAGUCCAAGGUUCGUCCUGGGUGACCACGUACCUUUUGUAUAAUGGGUCAGCGACUUAGUGUGACGAGCAAGCUUAAACCGCUAGGUGUAGGCGCAGCGAAAGCGAGUCUGAACAGGGCGUUCAGUUCGUCGCAUUAGACCCGAAACCGAGUGAUCUAGCCAUGAGCAGGUUGAAGGUAAGGUAACACUUACUGGAGGACCGAACCCAUAACUGUUGCAAUAGUUCGGGAUGACUUGUGGCUAGGGGUGAAAGGCCAAUCAAACUCGGAAAUAGCUGGUUCUCCGCGAAAUCUAUUUAGGUAGAGCGUCGACCGAAUACCCCAGGGGGUAGAGCACUGGAUGGGCUAGGGGUCCUCACCGGAUUACCAAACCUAACCAAACUCCGAAUACCUGGGAGUACUAGUCGGCAGACACACGGCGGGUGCUAACGUCCGUCGUGAAAAGGGAAACAACCCUGACCUACAGCUAAGGUCCCCAAGUUAUGGCUAAGUGGGAAAGGAUGUGAGGAUCCCAAAACAACCAGGAUGUUGGCUUAGAAGCAGCCAUCAUUUAAAGAAAGCGUAACAGCUCACUGGUCUAAAUAAGGGUCUUUGCGCCGAAAAUGUAACGGGGCUCAAGCCAUACACCGAAGCUUAGGGUUCGUAGCAAUACGAGCGGUAGCGGAGCGUUCUGUAAGCUGAUGAAGCCAUACCCGUGAGGGGUGGUGGAGGUAUCAGAAGUGCGAAUGCUGACAUGAGUAACGUAAGGGGAGUGAGAGACUCCCCCGCCGAAAGUCCAAGGGUUCCUGCUUAAAGCUAAUCUGAGCAGGGUUAGCCGGCCCCUAAGUCGAGGCAGAAAUGCGUAGACGAUGGGAACCACGUUAAUAUUCGUGGGCCUGGAGGAAGUGACGGAUCAUUGAGGUAGUCCAAUCUUAUCGGAUUGAAAGGGCUGCUGCGUGGUUCCAGGAAAUAGCUCCUCCUUAUAGACCGUACCCGAAACCGACACUGGUGGACUGGUAGAGUAUACCAAGGCGCUUGAGAGAACUAUGCUGAAGGAACUCGGCAAAUUGCACGCGUAACUUCGGAAGAAGCGUGACCCUUUUCCACGCAAGUGGAGGAGGGUGGCACAGACCAGGGGGUAGCGACUGUUUAUCAAAAACACAGGGCUCUGCGAAGUCGCAAGACGACGUAUAGGGUCUGACGCCUGCCCGGUGCUGGAAGGUUAAGAGGAGGGGUGCAAGCUCUGAAUCGAAGCCCCAGUAAACGGCGGCCGUAACUAUAACGGUCCUAAGGUAGCGAAAUUCCUUGUCGGGUAAGUUCCGACCUGCACGAAUGGCGUAACGACUUCCCCGCUGUCUCCAGCAUAGACUCAGUGAAAUUGAAUUCCCCGUGAAGAUGCGGGGUUCCUGCGGUUAGACGGAAAGACCCCGUGCACCUUUACUAUAGCUUUACAUUGGCAUUCGUAGUGGCAUGUGUAGGAUAGGUGGUAGGCUUUGAAACCUGGGCGCCAGCUCAGGUGGAGCCACCCUUGAAAUACCACCCUUAUCACUAUGGAUGUCUAACCGCGGCCCGUUAUCCGGGUCCGGGACAAUGUAUGGUGGGUAGUUUGACUGGGGCGGUCGCCUCCUAAAGAGUAACGGAGGCGCGCGAUGGUGGGCUCAGAACGGUCGGAAAUCGUUCGCUGAGUGCAAUGGCAUAAGCCUGCCUGACUGCGAGACUGACAAGUCGAGCAGAGACGAAAGUCGGUCAUAGUGAUCCGGUGGUCCCGCGUGGAAGGGCCAUCGCUCAACGGAUAAAAGGUACGCCGGGGAUAACAGGCUGAUGACCCCCAAGAGUCCAUAUCGACGGGGUUGUUUGGCACCUCGAUGUCGACUCAUCGCAUCCUGGGGCUGGAGCAGGUCCCAAGGGUAUGGCUGUUCGCCAUUUAAAGCGGUACGUGAGUUGGGUUCAGAACGUCGUGAGACAGUUCGGUCCCUAUCUGCCGUGGGUGUAGGAAUAUUGAAAGGAUCUGUCCCUAGUACGAGAGGACCGGGAUGGACGGAUCUCUGGUGGACCUGUUGUGGCGCCAGCCGCAUAGCAGGGUAGCUAUAUCCGGACGGGAUAACCGCUGAAGGCAUCUAAGCGGGAAACCCACCUUAAAACGAGUAUUCCCUGAGAACCGUGGAAGACGACCACGUUGAUAGGCCGGGUGUGGAAGAGCGGCAACGCUUGAAGCUUACCGGUACUAAUAGUUCGAUCGGCUUGAUCGUUCUCAUU